rnacentral:rRNA from 1 species
CCAGACUCCUACGGGAGGCAGCAGUGAGGAAUAUUGGUCAAUGGGCGGAAGCCUGAACCAGCCAAGUCGCGUGAGGGAAUAAGGCCCUACGGGUCGUAAACCUCUUUUGCCGGGGAGCAAGGGCGGGGACGUGUCCCGGCCCGGAGAGUACCCGGAGAAAAAGCAUCGGCUAACUCCGUGCCAGCAGCCGCGGUAAUACGGAGGAUGCGAGCGUUAUCCGGAUUUAUUGGGUUUAAAGGGUGCGUAGGCGGGCUUUUAAGUCAGCGGUAAAAAUUCGGGGCUCAACCCCGGCCUGCCGUUGAAACUGGCGGCCUCGAGUGGGCGAGAAGUAUGCGGAAUGCGUGGUGUAGCGGUGAAAUGCAUAGAUAUCGCGCAGAACUCCGAUUGCGAAGGCAGCGUACCGGCGCCGGACUGACGCUGAGGCACGAAAGCGUGGGUAUCGAACAGGAUUAGAUACCCGAGUAAAU